UGGAUAUUACUAGAGAUGUCAAUGAGUCAGAUUCGAGAAAAAUUUUCAAAAAUUUCAAUCCGAACCCGAUUACCAAAUCCGAAACACGAACCCAAACCCGAACCAGAAUCCAAAAAUCCGAAUUCGAAAUAACUAUUUUUCUUUACCAUAUUUCAAAAUAUAUUAUAUUAAAUCUAAAUUUUUAAAAUACAAAUUCAAAUAUAACAUUAAAUAUUAACCCGAAUCGGAAAUAAUCAUUUUUCUUUAUCAUAUUUCAAAACAUAUUAUAUUAAAUUUUUAUUUUUAAAAUAUAAAAUCAAAUAUAACGUUAAAUAUAUAUAUAUAUAUAGAGAGAGAGAGAGAGAGAGAGAAGGGCUACUAUACUCCUAUCAAUAUAGAGCCCUUCGUACUCAUAAGUUAUUUUUAAUGAUAGAACUUUCGAAUCAACGAUCCACAUUAUUAAAUAUAAUCUAAAGUAUUUAAA
rnacentral:lncRNA from 1 species